rnacentral:rRNA from 1 species
UACGUAGGGUGCAAGCGUUAAUCGGAAUUACUGGGCGUAAAGCGUGCGCAGGCGGUUCGGAAAGAAAGAUGUGAAAUCCCAGAGCUUAACUUUGGAACUGCAUUUUUAACUACCGGGCUAGAGUGUGUCAGAGGGAGGUGGAAUUCCGCGUGUAGCAGUGAAAUGCGUAGAUAUGCGGAGGAACACCGAUGGCGAAGGCAGCCUCCUGGGAUAACACUGACGCUCAUGCACGAAAGCGUGGGGAGCAAAC